rnacentral:rRNA from 1 species
UGUGACGUUACCAAACUGUUGCCUCGGCGGGAUCUCUGCCCCGGGUGCGUCGCAGCCCCGGACCAAGGCGCCCGCCGGAGGACCAACCAAAACUCUUAUUGUAUACCCCCUCGCGGGUUUUUUUAUAAUCUGAGCCUUCUCGGCGCCUCUCGUAGGCGUUUCGAAAAUGAAUCAAAACUUUCAACAACGGAUCUCUUGGUUCUGGCAUCGAUGAAGAACGCAGCGAAAUGCGAUAAGUAAUGUGAAUUGCAGAAUUCAGUGAAUCAUCGAAUCUUUGAACGCACAUUGCGCCCGCCAGUAUUCUGGCGGGCAUGCCUGUCCGAGCGUCAUUUCAACCCUCGAACCCCUCCGGGGGGUCGGCGUUGGGGAUCGGCCCUGCCUUGGCGGUGGCCGUCUCCGAAAUACAGUGGCGGUCUCGCCGCAGCCUCUCCUGCGCAGUAGUUUGCACACUCGCAUCGGGAGCGCGGCGCGUCCACAGCCGUUAAACACCCAACUUCUGAAAUGUUGACCUCGGAUCAGGUAGGAAUACCCGCUGAACUUAAGCAUAUCAU